UCCACAUAAGGACCCUGCUGUUAUCCAUGGGACAAUCCCAGGAGCUGGUAGAGACACACGGAAAGAAGAAACACAUGAAAACAUGGCAGAGCCAAUUGUCUACGCUACAGCUGAAGAGGAUGAACACCCUUGGCCUCACAUACAAAGAAUGUCUCGUUUCAAAGCAGUACAAAAGAACAGCUAUGUCUGCAGUGUCGGUGUCUUCAGUGAGAGCCAAAACAAAACAAAUUUUCAGCGUGAAAAAACUCAACUCGUGUAACCUGAGGAAACGGUCUCAACUUCAUCAGACAUCACCUAGACUCAGAGCUGGAUGAGGCCAGCACAAA